rnacentral:rRNA from 1 species
ACGAACGCUGGCGGCGUGCCUAAUACAUGCAAGUCGAACGCUUCUUUUUCCAUCGGAGCUUGCUCCACCGGAAAAAGAGGAGUGGCGAACGGGUGAGUAACACGUGGGUAACCUGCCCAUCAGAAGGGGAUAACACUUGGAAACAGGUGCUAAUACCGUAUAACAAUCGAAACCGCAUGGUUUUGAUUUGAAAGGCGCUUUCGGGUGUCGCUGAUGGAUGGACCCGCGGUGCAUUAGCUAGUUGGUGAGGUAACGGCUCACCAAGGCGACGAUGCAUAGCCGACCUGAGAGGGUGAUCGGCCACAUUGGGACUGGGACACGGCCCAAACUCCUACGGGAGGCAGCAGUAGGGAAUCUUCGGCAAUGGACGAAAGUCUGACCGAGCAACGCCGCGUGAGUGAAGAAGGUUUUCGGAUCGUAAAACUCUGUUGUUAGAGAAGAACAAGGAUGAGAGUAACUGUUCAUCCCUUGACGGUAUCUAACCAGAAAGCCACGGCUAACUACGUGCCAGCAGCCGCGGUAAUACGUAGGUGGCAAGCGUUGUCCGGAUUUAUUGGGCGUAAAGCGAGCGCAGGCGGUUUCUUAAGUCUGAUGUGAAAGCCCCCGGCUCAACCGGGGAGGGUCAUUGGAAACUGGGAGACUUGAGUGCAGAAGAGGAGAGUGGAAUUCCAUGUGUAGCGGUGAAAUGCGUAGAUAUAUGGAGGAACACCAGUGGCGAAGGCGGCUCUCUGGUCUGUAACUGACGCUGAGGCUCGAAAGCGUGGGGAGCAAACAGGAUUAGAUACCCUGGUAGUCCACGCCGUAAACGAUGAGUGCUAAGUGUUGGAGGGUUUCCGCCCUUCAGUGCUGCAGCUAACGCAUUAAGCACUCCGCCUGGGGAGUACGACCGCAAGGUUGAAACUCAAAGGAAUUGACGGGGGCCCGCACAAGCGGUGGAGCAUGUGGUUUAAUUCGAAGCAACGCGAAGAACCUUACCAGGUCUUGACAUCCUUUGACCACUCUAGAGAUAGAGCUUCCCCUUCGGGGGCAAAGUGACAGGUGGUGCAUGGUUGUCGUCAGCUCGUGUCGUGAGAUGUUGGGUUAAGUCCCGCAACGAGCGCAACCCUUAUUGUUAGUUGCCAUCAUUUAGUUGGGCACUCUAGCAAGACUGCCGGUGACAAACCGGAGGAAGGUGGGGAUGACGUCAAAUCAUCAUGCCCCUUAUGACCUGGGCUACACACGUGCUACAAUGGGAAGUACAACGAGUCGCAAAGUCGCGAGGCUAAGCUAAUCUCUUAAAGCUUCUCUCAGUUCGGAUUGUAGGCUGCAACUCGCCUACAUGAAGCCGGAAUCGCUAGUAAUCGCGGAUCAGCACGCCGCGGUGAAUACGUUCCCGGGCCUUGUACACACCGCCCGUCACACCACGAGAGUUUGUAACACCCGAAGUCGGUGAGGUAACCUUUUGGAGCCAGCCGCCUAAGGUGGGAUAGAUGAUUGGGGUG